AAGCAGCAUAGUAUCCUAUUAAAUUGCACUGUGGCCUUUAGGUUCACUUUUCUUCUCGCCAAAACCUGAAUUUUGCUACUGUUUAUUUGCAAAAGAAGUUCUGAAAUUUCAAUUUAACAUUACUCAUACCCAUCCUAAAUAUAAAAACAUUACUCUCUAUCCCUCAUACAUUAGCUGACAACCACUUGAACAAGUACCUGUAAAACAGAAUAUUUUCAGUUCUCAGAAGUACAACAAACAUGUAGAGGCAAUUGAAAUAUAUCAACUCGAAUUUGCAGCACCCUUGAAUAUUGACAGGCUGCGUGAGGGUCAGUAUCUACCAACGUAAGGCCAGGUUCCCAACCACCCAGGUAAGAAAUCUAGCAUACCGUACAAAUUCAUUCAACAUUCACCUUAAGCACAAUGCAAAAAUGUGAAAAUCUAAGCUUAGCAAGGUUAGUGUACUAUAGGUGUAUGCAGUGCCUUCAUAGAUGAGACAAAGAGCUACAAAUGCACCAUGCAUUGAAAAAAGAAAACCUGACCGCAAGCAGGUACCGCUAGUAUUCAGUUCUGAACCUUGAGAAAGUUUUGAACCCUUCCUUAUAGAGAACGUCAACAAAAUGCAGAUCAAAAGUGAAAAUCCAUAUUUUUAUUAGAUCGAUUCAAGUUUAGCAAGAUCAGGCCACUGCAGUGUUUAAUUUUCGAUCUAAUCAAUGAUAUGAUCGACCUCCAUGGCAGUGGCUUUCUAACUCAAAAGCUAACAAAACAGUAUACUCUUUAUUAACAAUUCAGUGACAUUGCACAUUCAGAUCACAUUUAAUUGCAUUGGGCUGAGAUGAUUCAUGCUUCUUCUUGGGGUGUUAUUCGUCGAUGCUUGCAGUGUGCAGCUUGUUUUUCACAUUUUAUUGUGUUUUACCCUUUUUGAUUUCCUUCUUUCUACAACAGAACAGAGUAGAUUCACAAUGAUGGGAUGACCAUCCUAAUACAGCAGAAGCUUUCCAGCCCCAUUCUAAGUUAAAUGGCCGAAUAUAUUAUUUUUAGCAAAGCGUAAAACAACAGAAAUCAUGUACCUCUGAAGAUGUGGGCAUGUCAGCAACCUCAUUAUCCCGAUUGAUAGGUAUAAAAAAUCAGCUAUAUUUUCGCACGAAAAAAAGGAAUCAGAUGGACUUGAAGUGUUCUCCUGAAACAAAAAUAACAAGUGUUCAGUAAUAACCAGUACUGACUAAUUAUGUACAAGAGAAGGAGAAUCGUACUGAUAAGUAUCUAGAAGGUAAACGUAACCCUGGGGAAUAAAUGCAGCUUGUCUCUAUCUUGUGUUUUCAUUUGCUUUCUUCAAUCAGCUGUCUGGCUUCUCUCAUCAUUUCUUUUCUAGCUUCUCUUAGUCACUUGAGUGAAGGUAAAGAUUUACCUUGGCGGCUGCAAUCUGAUGAUAGAACUUUUUUAUUUCUGAAUCAAAUAACCUCAGAUGAAAACUAUAACACAACCUUAAGUAAAACAGAAGUUCAUUAGAUUCAGGUAGAAUAAAUUAGGCUUGAGAUCACCUCAUGCCACACCCGGCUACGACAUAAACAGAAACAACACUGAAAAUCAGUAAUUUCUCAGCUCCUCCUCAUGGAUUAUAGUAGCUAGUGGACAACGUACAAAGUGGAUUAAAGAACACAAAACUGUUUCCCAACAAAUAUGUGUUGAAGUAUUGUAGAAAUUAGACUCCAAGGGCUCAAACACAAAACUGGAUUCUGCCCCAGAGUUUUAUUCUAUCAGGUUAGCACUUGAGGCAGACACUUUCCAUUCCGUGAAAAUCAAAUGGACAUUAUGAAUUCGAAAACAAUGAUUCGCUUGAACCCAAAAGAAAACAAACUAACGACAUAAUAAAGUAGUAACCUACUCCAAAAGGAAACAAGACCAUUAGUAAAAGCAAUAAAUGCCUACUCUUCUUGCCAUUUGCAAUAACAGGCUGCAGGUUACUUUUCAGAAUACUAUCACGCAAAUCAGAUUCUGAUUAACCUCCUUUAAAUUUCUUUGAGCUAAGUUGGCUAAUUGUUUUCCCUAAGACGAGCUCGUGCAACGAAGUCCAACUAAAUCGGAUCAUUUCACAACUGCAGGUAGAUCAAUCAUACAAUCACCGUAACUUAUCCUAUUCUGAGUUUCUGACACACCGUAUCAAAGAAUUGGGUCAAAGAGUUAUACAUACAAGAAAGGAACAAGUAAGAUUCCUCCUAAAGUCACGAGAACAAAAAUAACCAUAACCUUUUGAGGCACCUGGGGGUCCUCUCAUCCUCUGCCUGGUUAAUAUGGGCGAGAUCUGGAUGUUGGGGCGACUAGUGGCACUCAGGUAGGGAAAUUGCAAUCGAGAUGCUCAAUGCUGCCCAGGACACCGGACAUGGUGCAGGCCAAACACCAUGCUAUGAGACUACGAAGCCUCCCGCAAGGCCUGGCCGUCGACCGACGAAGCCUCCACCAGUCGCGAAGCCCCCCGCGUCUCUGCUGGCCUCAACGCUGCCGCCGACCAAUGGGCGCACCCCCCGCAACACACAACGAGAUCACAUCUUAAAAAGAAUUAGAAAAUCAUGCAUACAAGAAUUAGAUAGUAAAAAUCCCUCAUAUCCCACCCCGUAACUAAGAAAUUCAUGGCAAAAAGUAAAUUGGUCUAAGGUAAGCACGCAUCAAAUUUCAAAUCCCAAUCUUCUUUAUCCCGA
rnacentral:lncRNA from 1 species